rnacentral:snRNA from 1 species
AUGUUGCUACAAAAGGCCAUAUUGAUCGCCAGGGUUGAUUUGGCUGAUCUGGCUGGCUAGGCAGGUGCCCCCUUCCUCCAUUACCACUCCAUGUGCGUCCCUCCGGAAGCUGCACGCUCGGUUGAAGAGGACAACCUUCCCCGAUAGAGGAGGACCAUUCUUCAGUCAAGGGUAUACGAGUAGCUGCCCUCCCCUGCUAGAACCUCCAAACAAGCUCUCCCAGUUUUUUUUCUAUUGUUGAAGCUGGGAGGAUAAACCUAGUGUGUAUUAAUCUGGGCCAGAAACAGAAGCUCAUGUAGGUGUUAAGGC